rnacentral:rRNA from 1 species
UGGGGAAUAUUGGACAAUGGAGGAAACUCUGAUCCAGCAAUUCUGUGUGUGUGAAGAAGGUUUUAGGACUGUAAAACACUUUUAGUAGGGAAGAAAAAAAUGACGGUACCUACAGAAGAAGCAACGGCUAAAUACGUGCCAGCAGCCGCGGUAAUACGUAUGUUGCGAGCGUUAUCCGGAAUUAUUGGGCUUAAAGGGCAUCUAGGCGGUAAGACAAGUUGAAGGUGAAAACCUGUGGCUCAACCAUAGGCUUGCCUACAAAACUGUUGAACUAGAGUACUGGAAAGGUGGGUGGAACUACACGAGUAGAGGGGAAAUUCGUAAAUAUGUGUAAGAAUGCCGAUGAUGAAGAUAACUCACUGGACAGAAACUGACGCUGAAGUGCGAAAGCUAGGGGAGCAAACAGG